rnacentral:tRNA from 1 species
GCAUUGGUAAUUCAGUGGUAGAAUUCUCACUUUUCAUGCUGGGGACCUGGGUUUGGUUCCCAGCCAACGCA